GGGGGAAAGCUGGCAGUCACAGGCCUCACCCCUCUCCCACACAGCCCUCAGUCCUAAAGGCUGGUCUCACUCCCAUCCUGCCACGCAACAGCACAGGGUCUAUUUCGAGACAGCCAGUGACCAGGGCUGAGAACUUGCCCCAGACCACCAGCCUCCUCACUGAGAAAGCAAGCAGAAUCACAGUUUUUUGGAAUCUCAGGGAGCCUUCAGCGGCAAUCCAGUUCCUUCAAAGGGUCUGUGGAUUCUCUCAGUUUUCAUGAAACCAGCCAAGGCAAUGUGAAGGAUUCCAAGAGAGGCAAUAUGGAUGAAACCAUUUAUUAGAUUUAUAAGAGCUGAAGGAAAGUGGGGUGUCAGCUGUGACCCUCGAAGGAAAGGGAUCACCCUCUUUCUGACCCUAUACCACCUUCAGCAGGGAUGAAGGCAGUCAGAGAAAACUUAGUUAAAAAAUUUCUAAACUGCUUUGCUGAUUUGAUCUGGGGCCCUGGAGUGCCAACAUCCUGUGAUAGCGGCUGAUUGUUGAUGCCUGGGAGGAUACAGCAGUGACGAUCCAAAUUUACAAGACUCAACAUGGUUUUCAAAACUUCCUUUUAAAAAAGAUGUUCCUGAGUUCUGGAAUCUGAACAAAAUAUGUCUGGUUAUUAUAUAAUUCUAAUGGUCCUUGUGGAUGCUACCAUUAGAGUUCAGUUAGUGUCUCAUCUAUCACUGUAAUAUUUGUAUUGUAACACUAAUCGUGGCAAAGUAUGAUUUGAUAAAUGCUCAUUCUCAAAUCUUUUAUUUUAGUGUGUUCAUGUAAGAUUAAUGACCAUGAUGACUUGAGAUAGAAUUUUUUGAUUUGUUGCUUUCUUUGUGUCUUCCAAUAUCACACAGAUUUGCAAAGAUAUCUAUGGCACAAGGGGA
rnacentral:lncRNA from 1 species